CCUGAGCAGAAGUUGUCCUGCAGUGGGAGUCUGUUCCUCUGGAGCAGAGGCAUGGCUUCAGCUGCAACUACAGCCUCUAGUCCAGAUUGAAGAGGAAAUCCUGAGGUUGUAGUUACGGCUGUGGUACCAGUUGAGUGGUUUGUCUGGACUGUACAGGAUCCACAUGGAAGGAGUCCUGCUGGUCCAACGGCUGUAGAGGGCAUCGAUUCAGUGGACACCAUCCUGCUGUGCUCACUGUCCUGAUACUGCUGACCUGCCUACAUUGGAGACAGAGGAUAAAGCAGAAACUCUGACCCCGCACAUAGUAGCCUGUCAACCUGGAACUCCGAGACUAAAUACACCACAGUCUUUUUCACUGAGGGGGUAGGUACUUUUGAAUGCCAGAUAGCAAAAUGGGACUGUGCACUACAAAAUGGAAAAACACAGAUCCACUACACAUAUCUGUAGACAAAUGCUCUCGUUGAAGAUCUCUGGAAGUCAAAAGAAACUACACAGAGUAGGACUCAUUUUGUGAAAGUAUUAUUUUCAUUGAUUACUCUGUGUUGCACUUUAAUGCUAUUGUUAGUCUAACCAAUAUUACAUGUUUAAAGUUAUUAUUAUAAUUUCAAAUACAGCCCCAUUGUCCCCACUCACCCAGUAGGGGGCAGAAACCUAUUGAUUUUGAAUGCACAAUGAACAAA